rnacentral:lncRNA from 1 species
GAGUGGUUAUGAUAAAGUCACAUUGAAUAUGCCACGGAAGCCUAUCCCUUGUCCGGCUUCGGGUCUUCAGGCACUCGGUCUCCACCCUGGAGGGUGGUGGAGGGUGGGGGUGGGGACAGUCUUUUUUGGCUCACAAAACACAGCCCACACAAGUAAAGGACUUGCUGUUUCUGAGCAGUGCCUGUGUGUGGUUAGGCACAGGUUCAGUAAGCACACGCUGGGGACCUGGAGUAAGGGUGAAGGCCAGCAAGCUCGGGGAGUUCGUGCAAGCACAGGCACGUCCUACUAAGCGAAACAAGGCAGGGCAUGGCCGCCAGAGAACUUUCAGUUACAGGUGUGAACUCUGUAAGGACAGCACCCUCCAGGGAAGGGCCACAGUCACAAUUAGCGACAGUUUUUUAAGACCAGUGUGGAACAAAAGCUGAAAUGGGGUAAAUCAGAGCAAAGAGAGAAAGAGGAGGGAGCUAGAGGAUGCCUUUCAUAGCCAGAUUAAAGAACUCAGGUGAAAUGUCACCCAAGUCUCAAGAAUAAAAAAAAAAAAAAAAAA